UAUGCACUAUAUAGAGAGACACACUAUUUUGUGUGUGUCUCUGUGAGUGUGUGUGUGUGUGUGUGUUUAUUCCUUCUCUCCAGUUCAGCCUUAGGAAAAGGGAAAGCUUGUGAACGUGUCCUCGGGAACUUGGUUUGCUGAAUUAACAGGUGAAGGUAACAUCUCAAGAGCUCAGUAGACCCUUCUGCCCAAAUGCAGUUGGCAGUCCUUGGUCAGGCUUCACCUGAGUGGAGGCCAGGGAUUAGAGCUACCAAGCAGAUUGCAGGUGGGAGGUUGUGGUUGACUUUUUGGAAGUCAUUAGUACAAAUGCUUUUAGUGCCUUUAGCCCCUGGGGUUUUACAAGGUCACCGCGUGAUUGGGAUAAGCACGGUAAACUCUACGACCAGAAGGUGUUUCCAUGCCACGUGAUUGGGAUAAGCACGGUAAACUCUAAGACCAGAAGGUGUUUCCAUGCCACGUGAUUGGGAUAAGCACGGUAAACUCUACAACCAGAAGGUGUUUCCAUGCCACGUGAUUGGGAUAAGCACGGUAAACUCUAAGACCAGAAGGUGUUUCCAUGCCACGUGAUUGGGAUAAGCACGGUAAACUCUAAGACCAGAAGGUGUUUCCAUGCCACGUGAUUGGGAUAAGCACGGUAAACUCUAAGACCAGAAGGUGUUUCCAUGCCACGUGAUUGGGAUAAGCACGGUAAACUCUACAACCAGAAGGUGUUUCCAUGUCACUGGGGCUGUGGAGUGUGGCCCUAGCACUGUCACUAAAAAUCCGAGGGCUGUGGGAGCUCUGGGAGCUUGGCUUAGCCAGAGCCACCUCCUCUUUCCCACUUGGAGGCUAGGGGCAAUCCUGCGCCUGACCCUGGGUUGUGCAAUGGAGUGAAGGGGACUUAGGGCGGUCAAGAGCCAGAGGCAUUGCCGAAUUCCUGGGUGGCUUGCAGUCAUCAUGAUACGCUGACCUGGUUGCAAUCAUUUUUAUGGUGAAUUAUUCAAUACAGCAAAGUAAUCUGGCCCUUAUCUCUGCCCAGUCAUUCUAUAAUGAAGAGGCACGGGGUGGAGCCCGGGGACACCCUCGGUGGCAUUGUCGGGCCACAUACCUUUCCCCUCACAUCCUGCGACAGCUGAAUCCGAGCCCGAGGACCACGUGCGGGGCGGUCUCCAGUGUGGAUGGCAGCCCGGCUGGAACGCACUGGCAGGUGGUCCCUGUGCCCCAGAGGCCCCGUUUCCUUCCGGAAGCGAGGCUGCAACUGCUCCAGAUACCCAGCAGGAAGGCCACGUGACAACGGGAGGGGCACUCCUGUGUGUGUAGGGGCGAGGGGGUGGCGGUGCCAGGGUCCUGCAGUUCACCAGGUGCCCACGUGCCUGCCACCCGAGCGCCAUUCACUCCCGACCGCGGGGACCUGGGGCACAGCCGGGCCCACUGCGGCGAGGCGAGGAGAUGUGGGGAGAGGAAGAGCGGCGUCCACGAUGUGCUCAUUUAGGCUUGAUUUUCCUCCUGCCCUCCUGUCUCCCUCCCUGGCUUCACCCACAAGGCUUUCUUCUCGGGCUGAUUUCUGUGGGAGCUCUCUAGGCAGAACCCUCAGUCUCUGAAAGUCGGGUUCGUCGUCCGGGUCUGCGCAGGGCAUGGAUCUUGAGCGCUUGGAAUGUGACUUAACUGAGAAACGCUACUUUAUUUUAAUAAGUUUACAUCUAAAAGCCGAUCAUUGAUUCCAUUAUUUGGAAAACAACUUCUAAGUGUGUUUGGAGCAACUCGGAUAUUGGAAUCUUUUAAACUGUAAAUUUUAUGAAAUCUAAAUAACGACCAAAUAUCUACAAGGAAAAUCUAGCAUCUGAAUCGAGUGUGCUGUCAGUGUAAAACACACACCAGAUUUCAAAGAUUUACUGCAGAAAAAAACACAUGAAAAUACUGGUUACAUGUGGAAAUGAUAGUAUUUUAGAUCUGUUGGAUUAUCUAAAAUUAAAUUUAAAUUAAUGUCACUGGUUUUUUUUUUUUUACCUUUUUCUAGUGUGGCUACCGGAAAGUUUAAAUUUCAUACGUGUCUCAUGUUAUAUUUUAUUACAUUUCUCUCGGCCUGUGUGCUCUAGAUGGUUGAUUUGGCUGGAUUGAGAUGAGGUGAUGGCCAUCCUAAAGGAGGGCCUGAGUUCCCUCUGCCGACCUAUGGCUCUCACUGCUAUGCCUCCCUGAUCAUUCAGCCAGUGGAUGUGGAAUUCAGGGAGAUGAGAGAUGCUCAUUUCCUGCUCCAGGAGUGCUCUCCCCAGUGGGGUGGGAGCAAGUCCAAGGAGUGAGUGCUUCGUGGGAACUCUGGCUUCCCGGCUGUCUUCAUGCCUGUGCGUGGCCAUGACACCUGGCAGGAUGCCAGAGCAGGGAGAGCAGAAGCAUCCUGUGUUCUAGCAGAGUACAGACCAUCAGAAAUGUUUCAAUUCCAAAGCUGGGCCAGGUACUGUCACCCACUGGAGCCAAAGUACCCUUGAACAGUUCACCUCUCUCAGGCUUAGGGUGAUUAUAGUGAAAAUUGGAUGCUUUUCUAAAUAAGGCAAACAAUGAUGGUACCUAUUUUAUAACCUUUACUGGACUGCCUCUUUUUGCCCCAGUCAGAAUGUGAAGUCUGGAUUUAGACAAAAGAUUAUUUGGACGGGUGAUAGUAUGUUUUGCAAAAAGAAUUCAAAAUAAGGUAACAGGCAACCAAGAGGGGCUGCCCACCUACUAGGUUUAAUACUCUCAGGAGUAAAGAGACAUAGGACCUGUUCCCUGUAUCAUGUCCCCUUGGUUGGGAACACCUCCCUCUUUUCCAUCCAUCUGUUCAAAUCUGAGCUAUUUGUUCAAGGUGCAGCUCCGAUCCCACCUCCUCCAGGGUCUUUAUUUAAUUCCUCUAGGCUUCCCAGCACCAUUAAGCAGCUUCGCGACCUGCAGCCACACAUGCCAUAGGCCUCCAUCCUCAGGAAAGUGAUUGAGUCUAUCAGCUUAUUUUCCUUUGGAGCCAGGUUCUAAGAAGUGGAUGCGAGUGACAUUAUUAUUCUGAUUAGUUACCUAUCCCCAUAACAGGGAGCUACAGAGUGCUUUGCAAAUAGUAAUGCUUUAACCUCGCCUCCAAAAAAAAAAAAAGAACAGCCUGAUGUGAAAAACAUUUAUAAUUUCUUGUAGUUACAGUGUGUAUCUUCAUUAUAAUCAUUCUUACAAUAAAUACAGAAGUGCUAAACAGACCAUUAUCACAGUGGCCUGUGGGCUGAGGCACAGGAACUGAGGGGUGCUGCAGACACCAGUGCUUCUCCAGGGCUGGCCAGGACACCUUCAGAGAGGCUAGUGAAGAGGAGAGGAAUGUAGGGUGAAUUUGAAAUGUGAUUAAUAGAGUCAAUGCAGCACAUGCUAGAAACA
rnacentral:lncRNA from 1 species